GGGGCUGACCUGGAAUCGACAGGAAUGUGUACUGGUCAGUAAGCAUGUCAGAGCAUGAGAGGUUACUCUGUAAAAAAUAACUUUCAAAUCUUAAGUGGCAACACUUAUGCUAUUGCUGCCUAAUUCUAGGAAUUAGUCCAGCUUUAUGCCGUCGAUCUGAUACCUAAUACAGGAUCCACCGCAUUCAAACCCAUCCUUAAGGAUGCUUAGGUUAGUCUCGACAAAACGUAACCGUUGGCGAGAUGAAAUUAAUUGGAAACUGGAUGUUGACAUGGGUUUGUCUUUUAGCCUACACCAACAUUGAGACUUAAAUUAAAGAAUAAACAUGUAGAAAGCUGAUGAGACCUUUGUCUGGACGGGAGUUCGACUCUCCCCAGCUCCACUU
rnacentral:tmRNA from 1 species